rnacentral:rRNA from 1 species
AUUGAACGCUGGCGGCAUGCCUUACACAUGCAAGUCGAACGGCAGCGCGGGGCAACCUGGCGGCGAGUGGCGAACGGGUGAGUAAUAUAUCGGAACGUACCCUGGAGUGGGGGAUAACGUAGCGAAAGUUACGCUAAUACCGCAUACGAUCUAAGGAUGAAAGUGGGGGAUCGCAAGACCUCAUGCUCCUGGAGCGGCCGAUAUCUGAUUAGCUAGUUGGUGGGGUAAAGGCCUACCAAGGCAUCGAUCAGUAGCUGGUCUGAGAGGACGACCAGCCACACUGGAACUGAGACACGGUCCAGACUCCUACGGGAGGCAGCAGUGGGGAAUUUUGGACAAUGGGCGAAAGCCUGAUCCAGCAAUGCCGCGUGAGUGAAGAAGGCCUUCGGGUUGUAAAGCUCUUUUGUCAGGGAAGAAACGGUGAGAGCUAAUAUCUCUUGCUAAUGACGGUACCUGAAGAAUAAGCACCGGCUAACUACGUGCCAGCAGCCGCGGUAAUACGUAGGGUGCAAGCGUUAAUCGGAAUUACUGGGCGUAAAGCGUGCGCAGGCGGUUUUGUAAGUCUGUCGUGAAAUCCCCGGGCUCAACCUGGGAAUUGCGAUGGAGACUGCAAGGCUAGAAUCUGGCAGAGGGGGGUAGAAUUCCACGUGUAGCAGUGAAAUGCGUAGAGAUGUGGAGGAACACCGAUGGCGAAGGCAGCCCCCUGGGUCAAGAUUGACGCUCAUGCACGAAAGCGUGGGGAGCAAACAGGAUUAGAUACCCUGGUAGUCCACGCCCUAAACGAUGUCUACUAGUUGUCGGGUUUUAAUUAACUUGGUAACGCAGCUAACGCGUGAAGUAGACCGCCUGGGGAGUACGGUCGCAAGAUUAAAACUCAAAGGAAUUGACGGGGACCCGCACAAGCGGUGGAUGAUGUGGAUUAAUUCGAUGCAACGCGAAAAACCUUACCUACCCUUGACAUGUACGGAAGCCACGAGAGAUCGAGGUGUGCUCGAAAGAGAGCCGUAACACAGGUGCUGCAUGGCUGUCGUCAGCCCGUGUCGUGAGAUGUUGGGUUAAGUCCCGCAACGAGCGCAACCCUUGUCAUUAGUUGCUACGAAAGGGCACUCUAAUGGGACUGCCGGUGACAAACCGGAGGAAGGUGGGGAUGACGUCAAGUCCUCAUGGCCCUUAUGGGUAGGGCUUCACACGUCAUACAAUGGUACAUACAGAGGGCCGCCAACCCGCGAGGGGGAGCUAAUCCCAGAAAGUGUAUCGUAGUCCGGAUUGUAGUCUGCAACUCGACUGCAUGAAGUUGGAAUCGCUAGUAAUCGCGGAUCAGCAUGUCGCGGUGAAUACGUUCCCGGGUCU